rnacentral:rRNA from 1 species
UGGGGAAUUUUGGACAAUGGGCGAAAGCCUGAUCCAGCAAUGCCGCGUGUGUGAAGAAGGCCUUCGGGUUGUAAAGCACUUUUAUCAGGAGCGAAACGCUGUCGGCUAAUACCCGGCGGAACUGACGGUACCCGAGGAAUAAGCACCGGCUAACUUCGUGCCAGCAGCCGCGGUAAUACGAAGGGUGCAAGCGUUAAUCGGAAUUACUGGGCGUAAAGCGUGCGUAGGCGGUUUCUUAAGUCUGCUGUGAAAUCCCCGGGCUCAACCUGGGAAUGGCAGUGGAUACUGGGAGGCUAGAGUGUGUCAGAGGGUGGUGGAAUUCCCGGUGUAGCGGUGAAAUGCGUAGAGAUCGGGAGGAACAUCAGUGGCGAAGGCGGCCACCUGGGACAACACUGACGCUGAGGCACGAAAGCGUGGGGAGCAAACAGGAUUAGAUACCCUGGUAGUCCACGCCCUAAACGAUGCGAACUGGAUGUUGGUCUCAACUCGGAGAUCAGUGUCGAAGCUAACGCGUUAAGUUCGCCGCCUGGGGAGUACGGUCGCAAGACUGAAACUCAAAUGAAUUGA